rnacentral:lncRNA from 1 species
GAAAAACCUACUUGAAGUGCGUAUCGCACUGCCCACAGCUAUUAACCUUCAAGGCAACCGAUGAGUCGGGACGAAGGAAUAGAGGCACGCUUUGAGGCCAUCACUCGUUGUUUUUGUAGACCUUGACAACAACAAGCGAUCUUGAUAUUGAGCACCAUUCUACACAAGCAACUAGCCAUGUUUCGUCUGAAUAAAUCCCUCAGCUUAUAAUCUCGGGACA